CCCAGCUGCAUUCUAGAGUGCCAGGGGUGAACCAGGGAGCAGAGGCAGGAAGAGGAGGGGACGGACAGGAGAGAGGGCCAUCCCACACUCCAAACCACAACAUCAGCAUGUGACCAGCUGCCCAUCUUUGUCUGGCCUCACUCCUUAGGGACAGCUGGGGCCAUCAAUCUGUUCCCAAAAACCCUGCACUUCACCCUGACUCCUAUGGUAAGCAUUGAGGGCCAUUAUUGUUCUCGAUGUGGGGCGUCCUCUGCGGUAAAGUCUCUGGCACACUUUUAAAGACAUAGUGGGUAAUAUAUGCAGGCCUGAGCCAGUGACCCUGGCAAAACCAUUCCCCUCCCCCUCCCGAGGCUCCUUUUCUUGGAAGAGCAGACAAACAUUUGUGAGUAUCAGUCUUCAUCCCUUUAACUUUAACUUUUUUUUUUCACUUUGGGAAUUUGUGAGGAGUUCUUUCAUGUCCUGAACCAUCUUUUAUCAAUAUUAUUGCAUGUAACAGUGAUGCCUUACUUUGGAAGCACACUGUGUUUCUAUUUCUCUUUUUAACAGGUUUUGUCAGCUGAAGACCACAGUGACACAGCAAGAGUCAGCCAAUCUCUUUAACGCUAACAGAUAUUAGUGGUUUUGCUGGCUGGAGUUAAGUAGAGAAGUGACAAAGUACUAAAAGGCCGACUAUCUAGAUACACUUGAACGGUGUCUAAAAGCAUGACGGCGACAGCCAAGUUAAUCAGGAAGAGACGAUCUACAGGACAUUCCAGCUUUGUUGUCUCAACACGUGCACUAAUAGAUAAACCAACACUGAUGAAUCAUGCCAAAAAUCACAAGUAAACACCUAUUAACAACAUGUACACAGAAGCAAUCAGCAACAUUAACUAUAAAAGUGCUCAAGAGUAGUGAUUUGAGCACAGCUUAGUCGAACAGUUUAGUUUGUGUAUUGCAACAACAGCAUGCCAUGUGAUUCUCAGCAUGCCAUCAGACCUGCCUAUUUGUUUUGGAGAAUGAUUAUGUGCUUUACGGGGCCCCAAGGACCGAAGCCUUCUAAAAUGAGCUGUGAUCCUGUGUUCGAUUAAUAGACUCAGUACACAAAAAGUAGCUGCCUCCACCCAAACAUUUUACACCUGUGUUGAUACUGGCAACACUCCCUUUUUCUCUAGAAAUCGAAAGUUUCUCCUCCUAAACACGUCUGGGCUGUACACCAUUCUGAUAAAUACUGCAUUAGUGGAAUUCUGUGUCAUGCAGGCGUGCGCAGUUAAUGAUGACACAGGUGUAACACUUCAGAGAUGGUUUAGAUAGGAGGGGACAUGAUGUUCAGUCAUACCUCAAAUCACUGUGAUUCACCCUGAACUUGUCCUCAGCCCCAGUCUAAUUUUUUUAAUAAACAUAAAAAAUGUAAUCA
ensembl:lncRNA